GGAGUUUGAUCCUGGCUCACAACGAACGCUGGCGGCGUGCUUAACACAUGCGAGUCGCGUGCGCAGUUCCCGUAGCAAUACGGGGAUGGGCGCACGGCGCAGGGGUGCGUAACACGUGGGCAAUCUGCCCUCCGAUGGGGAAUAACCCCGCGAAAGCGGGGCUAAUACCGCAUAACAUUCCUUGGACCCUGGUUCGAGGACUCAAAGCAAUAAUGCGUCAGAGGAGGAGCCCGCGCCCGAUUAGCUAGUUGGCAGGGUAAUGGCCUACCGAGGCAAUGAUCGGUAGCUGGUCUGAAAGGAUGAUCAGCCACACUGGAACUGAGACACGGUCCACACUCCUACUGGAGGCAGCAGUGGGGAAUCUUGCACAAUGGGCGAAAGCCUGAUGCAGCGACGCCGCGUGGGGGAUGAAGCUUCUCGGAGUGUAAACCCCUUUCGCCUGGGACGAAUGCCUCGCAAGAGGAGUGACGGUACCACGAUAAGAAGCCCCGGCUAACUACGUGCCAGCAGCCGCGGUAAGACGUAGGGGGCCAGCGUUGUUCGGAAUUACUGGGUGUAAAGGGUUCGUAGGCCGUGUGGCAAGUUGGGAGUGAAAUCUCUGGGCUCAACCCAGAGGCUGCUUCCAAAACUGCUGUGCUUGAGUGUGGGAGAGGCGCGUGGAAUUGCAGGUGUAGCGGUGAAAUGCGUAGAUAUCUGCAUGAACACCCGUGGCGAAGGGUGCGCGCUGGACCACAACUGACGCUGAGGAACGAAAGCUAGGGGAGCAAACAGGAUUAGAUACCCUGGUAGUCCUAGCCCUAAACCAUAUAGGACUUGG
rnacentral:rRNA from 1 species